rnacentral:misc_RNA from 1 species
UAUCCGUAGGUGAACCUGCGGAAGGAUCAUUGUCGAAACCUGCCCAGCAGAACGACCCGCGAACUUGUAUAAACAACUGGGGGCGGGGGGCGUUCUCGCCCCGUGCCCCCGAACGGCGGGGAGACACUCGUGCCUUCUUGCCGAACAACGAACCCCGGCGCGGUCUGCGCCAAGGAACUUCAACUAAAGAGUGCUUCCGGUCGCCUCGGAAACGGCGUGCGUGCCGGAGGCGAAUCUUGUGCAAAACCAUAACGACUCUCGGCAACGGAUAUCUCGGCUCUC